rnacentral:rRNA from 1 species
AUUGAACGCUGGCGGCAUGCCUUACACAUGCAAGUCGAGCGGUAACAGGUCUUCGGAUGCUGACGAGUGGCGAACGGGUGAGUAAUACAUCGGAACGUGCCUAGUCGUGGGGGAUAACUACUCGAAAGAGUGGCUACUACCGCAUGAGAUCUACGGAUGAAAGCAGGGGAUCGCAAGACCUUGUGCUACUAGAGCGGCCGAUGGCAGAUUAGGUAGUUGGUGGGAUAAAAGCUUACCAAGCCGACGAUCUGUAGCUGGGCUGAGAGGACGAUCAGCCACACUGGGACUGAGACACGGCCAAGGCUCCUACGGGAGGCAGCAGUGGGGAAUUUUGGACAAUGGGCGCAAGCCUGAGCCAGCAAUGCCGCGUGCAGGAUGAAGGCCUUCGGGUUGUAAACUGCUUUUGUACGGAACGAAAAGCCCCGGGUUAAUACCCUGGGGUCAUGACGGUACCGUAAGAAUAAGCACCGGCUAACUACGUGCCAGCCGCCGCCGUAA